rnacentral:rRNA from 1 species
UACGUAGGGUGCAAGCGUUGUCCGGAAUUAUUGGGCGUAAAGAGCUCGUAGGCGGUUUGUCGCGUCUGCUGUGAAAACCGGAGGCUCAACCUCCGGCCUGCAGUGGGUACGGGCAGACUAGAGUGCGGUAGGGGAGAUUGGAAUUCCUGGUGUAGCGGUGGAAUGCGCAGAUAUCAGGAGGAACACCGAUGGCGAAGGCAGUUACCUGGCUCAAAACUGACGCUAAAGCACGAAAGUGUGGGGAGCAAACAGG